rnacentral:tRNA from 1 species
CAGAUAGUAGUUUAUUAAAAUAUUGACUUUGGGUGUCAAUGAUCGCUAAAUGCGCUAUCUGA